AAGGGGUACACAAGGUAGGGCCUAUCCUAACCACCCUCCCUACCUCCCAGGGGGGGCCGAUGCUGAUGGGGCCCACGGGGAGCCCACAGGUAGAGACCAUGCUGCGGGAGCUGGGGGAGCUGUGGGAGGACCUGCAGAGGAAGCACCAGGAGAACGGCGCUGUGCUGCGGGAAAUUGAUAAGUCACUGAAGCUGGUGGGGGAGCUGGACCGGGCCGAGCGGUGGCUGCAGUCUGUGGCUGGGUCACUCUUGGAGCCAGCCGCCAUGAGAAGCCCGGUGGAGCUGCGGCAGGACCUGGAGGAGACGGGCCAGCUGGAGAGGCAGCUGGUGCUGUGCGGCCUCAAGCUCCAGGCACUGCGGGAGGAGGCAGCGGGCAAGCCACCUGCCGAGCAUGAGGGAGCAAGGAAGAUGCAGAGGAAGGUGGAGAUGGUGGAGGAGAAGUUGGCACACGUGCAGGCAGCCUUGCGGCGCCGGGCAGCAGACCUGCGUGACUCCCUAGUGCUGUCUGAGUUCCUGCAGGACUUGCAAGAGGAGGAGGCACGGAGCCAGCAGGAACCUGCAGUGCCAGGGAGCAGCCAUUGCAGCUUGCAGGGGUCUUUUCCCCUGCUCUCAGCCCAGGCCGGGCAGCUGCUGAGCAGCGAGGACAUGAGCCACCCUUUGGGAGAGCUGCAGGAGGCCGUGGAGAUGCUGAACGAUGCAGUGAAGGAGAGGGAACGGGUCAUGGAGGUGGCUGCAGAGACAGAGAGCCUGGAGCGCCUGGUGGCAGAGGUGUCCCCACGCCUGGAGGCCCUUCGAUGCAGAGCCGAGGCUCUGGCUAGAGACACUGCCCAAGCAGAAAGUGGCUUCACCACAGUGAAGAGCGAGAAGGACCUCCAGGGGCUGCAGGGCUUGCUAAACCGGCAGCAGGAGAUGGAGCGUGCAGUGUCAGAGACCCUGCAGGGGCAGCUGGAGGAGCUGGAGAGGGCAGCUGCCCGCUUGCAAGAGCUCUGCCCUGCUCGGCUGUGUCCCGUCAGCCAGGAGGUGCAGGGGACGUUGCAGGCCUGGGCAGGGCUGCAGGACUUGCUGCGGGAGACCCGGGUCCAUGUGCAGCAGGCCAGCCAGCUGCGGCACUUCUUCAAGGAUUACUUAGCCAUGAUCUCCUGGACGGAGGACACACGGGCUCAGAUCUUCUCUGAAAGUCCAAGCAGCCAUGGCCUCUUGGAGACUCCGUGUGAGGAGCUGGAGAGGAGGAUUGAAGGGAAGAUCAAGGAAUUUGAGGCACUGGCAGCAUCGGGGAAGCAGCUGGUGUCUGAGGAGCACUACCUGAGCGCAACAAUAAAGGAGCGCUUGGAGGAGCUACAGAGCAUGCUGGGCUGGGUGCUGGUGCGCUGGAGAGCACAGAGGCACCAGCGGGACCCAAGGAGCAAGCAGGAGGACAGAAGGGUCCUGGAGAGCCCAUCAGACACGUCCUCCACUGGCCAAGUGAGUACCCAGCCCCAUUGAGACUGUUGGGGAGCAGGACCAGCCUCAAGGCUGAGGGUCACAGAGGCAGUAGACAG
rnacentral:lncRNA from 1 species